AACGCAGCCUUCGGGCUGAGUGGCGGACGGGUGAGUAACGCGUGAGAAUCUACCUUCAGGAUGGGGACAACCGUUGGAAACGACGGCUAAUCCCCAAUAGGCCACAAGGUGAAACGGGAUUCCGCCUGGAGAGGAGCUCGCGUCCGAUUAGUUAGUUGGUGAGGUAAGAGCUUACCAAGGCAGCGAUCGGUAGCUGGUCUGAGAGGAUGAGCAGCCACACUGGGACUGAGACACGGCCCAGACUCCUACGGGAGGCAGCAGUGGGGAAUUUUCCGCAAUGGGCGCAAGCCUGACGGAGCAACGCCGCGUGUGGGAAGAAGGCUCUUGGGCUGUCAACCACUUUUCUCAGGGAAGAAGCCCUGACGGUACCUGAGGAAUCAGCCUCGGCUAACUCCGUGCCAGCAGCCGCGGUAAUACGGAGGAGGCAAGCGUUAUCCGGAAUUAUUGGGCGUAAAGCGUCCGCAGGGGGCACAUCAAGUCUGCUGUUAAAGGCUGGAGCUUAACUCCGGUAGAGCAGUGGAAACUGGUGUGCUCGAGGGCGACAGGGGUAGAGGGAAUUCCCAGUGUAGCGGUGAAAUGCGUAGAGAUUGGGAAGAACACCGGUGGCGAAAGCGCUCUACUGGGUCGCACCUGACCCUCAGGGACGAAAGCUAAGGUAGCGAAAGGGAUUAGAUACCCCUGUAGUCUUAGCCGUAAACGAUGGAUACUAGGCGUGGUUUGUAUCGACCCAAGCCGUGCCGAAGCUAACGCGUUAAGUAUCCCGCCUGGGGAGUACGCACGCAAGUGUGAAACUCAAGGAAUUGACGGGGGCCCGCACAAGCGGUGGAGGAUGUGGUUUAUUCGAUGCACGCGAGACCUACCAGGCUUGACAUCCCGCGAUCUCAGAAAUGGAGAGUGCUUCGAGCGCGAGACGUGUGCAUGCUGUCGUCAGCUCGUGUCGUGAGUGUGGGUAGUCCGCACGAGCGCACCU
rnacentral:rRNA from 1 species